rnacentral:rRNA from 1 species
ACUAAGCGUACACGGUGGAUGCCCUGGCAGUCAGAGGCGAUGAAGGACGUGCUAAUCUGCGAUAAGCGUCGGUAAGGUGAUAUGAACCGUUAUAACCGGCGAUUUCCGAAUGGGGAAACCCAGUGUGUUUCGACACACUAUCAUUAACUGAAUCCAUAGGUUAAUGAGGCGAACCGGGGGAACUGAAACAUCUAAGUACCCCGAGGAAAAGAAAUCAACCGAGAUUCCCCCAGUAGCGGCGAGCGAACGGGGAGCAGCCCAGAGCCUGAAUCAGUGUGUGUGUUAGUGGAAGCGUCUGGAAAGGCGCGCGAUACAGGGUGACAGCCCCGUACACAAAAAUGCACAUACUGUGAGCUCGAUGAGUAGGGCGGGACACGUGGUAUCCUGUCUGAAUAUGGGGGGACCAUCCUCCAAGGCUAAAUACUCCUGACUGACCGAUAGUGAACCAGUACCGUGAGGGAAAGGCGAAAAGAACCCCGGCGAGGGGAGUGAAAAAGAACCUGAAACCGUGUACGUACAAGCAGUGGGAGCACGCUUCGGCGUGUGACUGCGUACCUUUUGUAUAAUGGGUCAGCGACUUAUAUUCUGUAGCAAGGUUAACCGAAUAGGGGAGCCGAAGGGAAACCGAGUCUUAACUGGGCGUUAAGUUGCAGGGUAUAGACCCGAAACCCGGUGAUCUAGCCAUGGGCAGGUUGAAGGUUGGGUAACACUAACUGGAGGACCGAACCGACUAAUGUUGAAAAAUUAGCGGAUGACUUGUGGCUGGGGGUGAAAGGCCAAUCAAACCGGGAGAUAGCUGGUUCUCCCCGAAAGCUAUUUAGGUAGCGCCUCGUGAAUUCAUCUCCGGGGGUAGAGCACUGUUUCGGCAAGGGGGUCAUCCCGACUUACCAACCCGAUGCAAACUGCGAAUACCGGAGAAUGUUAUCACGGGAGACACACGGCGGGUGCUAACGUCCGUCGUGAAGAGGGAAACAACCCAGACCGCCAGCUAAGGUCCCAAAGUCAUGGUUAAGUGGGAAACGAUGUGGGAAGGCCCAGACAGCCAGGAUGUUGGCUUAGAAGCAGCCAUCAUUUAAAGAAAGCGUAAUAGCUCACUGGUCGAGUCGGCCUGCGCGGAAGAUGUAACGGGGCUAAACCAUGCACCGAAGCUGCGGCAGCGACACUAUGUGUUGUUGGGUAGGGGAGCGUUCUGUAAGCCUGUGAAGGUGUGCUGUGAGGCAUGCUGGAGGUAUCAGAAGUGCGAAUGCUGACAUAAGUAACGAUAAAGCGGGUGAAAAGCCCGCUCGCCGGAAGACCAAGGGUUCCUGUCCAACGUUAAUCGGGGCAGGGUGAGUCGACCCCUAAGGCGAGGCCGAAAGGCGUAGUCGAUGGGAAACAGGUUAAUAUUCCUGUACUUGGUGUUACUGCGAAGGGGGGACGGAGAAGGCUAUGUUGGCCGGGCGACGGUUGUCCCGGUUUAAGCGUGUAGGCUGGUUUUCCAGGCAAAUCCGGAAAAUCAAGGCUGAGGCGUGAUGACGAGGCACUACGGUGCUGAAGCAACAAAUGCCCUGCUUCCAGGAAAAGCCUCUAAGCAUCAGGUAACAUUAAAUCGUACCCCAAACCGACACAGGUGGUCAGGUAGAGAAUACCAAGGCGCUUGAGAGAACUCGGGUGAAGGAACUAGGCAAAAUGGUGCCGUAACUUCGGGAGAAGGCACGCUGAUAUGUAGGUGAAGUCCCUCGCGGAUGGAGCUGAAAUCAGUCGAAGAUACCAGCUGGCUGCAACUGUUUAUUAAAAACACAGCACUGUGCAAACACGAAAGUGGACGUAUACGGUGUGACGCCUGCCCGGUGCCGGAAGGUUAAUUGAUGGGGUUAGCGGUAACGCGAAGCUCUUGAUCGAAGCCCCGGUAAACGGCGGCCGUAACUAUAACGGUCCUAAGGUAGCGAAAUUCCUUGUCGGGUAAGUUCCGACCUGCACGAAUGGCGUAAUGAUGGCCAGGCUGUCUCCACCCGAGACUCAGUGAAAUUGAACUCGCUGUGAAGAUGCAGUGUACCCGCGGCAAGACGGAAAGACCCCGUGAACCUUUACUAUAGCUUGACACUGAACAUUGAGCCUUGAUGUGUAGGAUAGGUGGGAGGCUUUGAAGUGUGGACGCCAGUCUGCAUGGAGCCGACCUUGAAAUACCACCCUUUAAUGUUUGAUGUUCUAACGUUGACCCGUGAUCCGGGUUGCGGACAGUGUCUGGUGGGUAGUUUGACUGGGGCGGUCUCCUCCUAAAGAGUAACGGAGGAGCACGAAGGUUGGCUAAUCCUGGUCGGACAUCAGGAGGUUAGUGCAAUGGCAUAAGCCAGCUUGACUGCGAGCGUGACGGCGCGAGCAGGUGCGAAAGCAGGUCAUAGUGAUCCGGUGGUUCUGAAUGGAAGGGCCAUCGCUCAACGGAUAAAAGGUACUCCGGGGAUAACAGGCUGAUACCGCCCAAGAGUUCAUAUCGACGGCGGUGUUUGGCACCUCGAUGUCGGCUCAUCACAUCCUGGGGCUGAAGUAGGUCCCAAGGGUAUGGCUGUUCGCCAUUUAAAGUGGUACGCGAGCUGGGUUUAGAACGUCGUGAGACAGUUCGGUCCCUAUCUGCCGUGGGCGCUGGAGAACUGAGGGGGGCUGCUCCUAGUACGAGAGGACCGGAGUGGACGCAUCACUGGUGUUCGGGUUGUCAUGCCAAUGGCACUGCCCGGUAGCUAAAUGCGGAAGAGAUAAGUGCUGAAAGCAUCUAAGCACGAAACUUGCCCCGAGAUGAGUUCUCCCUGACUCCUUGAGAGUCCUGAAGGAACGUUGAAGACGACGACGUUGAUAGGCCGGGUGUGUAAGCGCAGCGAUGCGUUGAGCUAACCGGUACUAAUGAACCGUGAGGCUUAACC